CCAUCAAACUGUGAGUCCAUUAUUUUUUUUUGCAGAUUGCAGCACAGGUAGUGAACACUGUAAAAAAGAGAGAAUGGAUAGCGAGGAACCUUUAACGGUCAUUUGCACAGUUGUAGCUGUAGAUUCCACCAGCUUCUGCUAUAGAGUAUGCUCUGUCUGUGACAAGACACUCCCCGACAAGGGCCCUUCUCUGUGCCAAUUCUGCAAUAUGAAGGGCUUCAACGCAGGCUCCUCUGAUUUCAAACGCCUCUAUCGCGUUCUUCUGUCCGUCGCAACGGAGAACAAGGUUUUUGUUGUGAUAUGCUUUGAUAGGGCAGCUCGAGUUUUGUUCGGUUGCUCCGCUGAUGAAUUCUUCGAGUUCAGAAAGCUAAACCCUCUUUCAGCUGUGGCAGCAGGCAAGGUACUAGAGGGAGAGAUGUUCCAGAUGAAACUAUCCAAACCAAAGAACGGCAAUGCCCAGCAUCUCCGAGUUGUAUCUGUCUUUCCUCUGCGCUCGGACUUUUCCCCAGCAGUCAAUACCUUGAAGAAGCUAUAUGGUGUUGGUGGGUGUUCCUCCUGAACCUAGUGUCUAGC